AGACAGCUGUGGGUGGGGUGGUGUGGGAGGUAAUUAUCAUAGAAUCAUAGAAUAUGCUGAGUUAGAAGGGACCCAUCAGCAUCCUUGAGACCAACUCUUGGCCCUGUGCAGGACGCCCCAAGAAUUAGACCAUAUGUCUGAGAGCAUUGUCCAAAUGCUUCUU